rnacentral:rRNA from 1 species
UACGUAGGGUGCGAGCGUUGUCCGGAAUUAUUGGGCGUAAAGGGCUCGUAGGCGGUCUGUCGCGUCGGGAGUGAAAACUCGGGGCUUAACUCCGAGCCUGCUUCUGAUACGGGCAGACUAGAGGUAUGCAGGGGAGAAUGGAAUUCCUGGUGUAGCGGUGAAAUGCGCAGAUAUCAGGAGGAACACCGGUGGCGAAGGCGAGUCCCUGGACAACACCUGACACUGAGGCACGAAAGCUAGGGGAGCAAACAGG